rnacentral:lncRNA from 1 species
UAUCUAUAUUGGUAGCUAGGAAGAGAAUUACAGCCAUCGCAACAGACAAUAGCCAGGGGAGGGAGUGUAAGGUAUAUCGGUGUGGAGAAGAUGUCCAGAUGAGAAUCACAACCAGACAAUAACCUUACCACUUUGGUGACAAACCAUUUGAUGAAUUAACUACAUAAUUGAACACUUCAAUCAAGUGAAUCAUAAAGGUCCUUCCUACUGUCAAUAUCUUAAAUUCUGCUAUAAUAUUUGAUCCCCGGAGACUAGAAGGCCAU